AUUGAACGCUGGCGGCAGGCCUAACACAUGCAAGUCGAGCGAGUGGCGGACGGGUGAGUAAUGUCUGGGGAUCUGCCUGAUGUAGGGGGAUAACUACUGGAAACGGUAGAUAAUACCGCAUACCAUCAGAUGAACCCAGAUGGGAUUAGCUGGUAGGUGAGGUAAAGGCUUACCUAGGCGACGAUCCCUAGCUGGUCUGAGAGGAUGAUCAGCCACACUGGGACUGAGACACGGCCCAGACUCCUACGUGAGGCAGCAGUGGGGAAUAUUGCACAAUGGGCGCAAGCCUGAUGCAGCCAUGCCGCGUGUAUGAAGAAGGCCUUCGGGUUGUAAAGUACUUUCAGUCGGGAGGCGUUACCGACAGAAGAAGCACCGGCUAACUCCGUGCCAGCAGCCGCGGUAAUAC
rnacentral:rRNA from 1 species